rfam:Aedes albopictus isolate Foshan contig154008, whole genome shotgun sequence.
UGCCCAGCAACUCCUAUCCCUACCUCCACGCGGUACCGGCCGGAAACUAUGAGCAACCUUAGGGAAGAUCGUGUAACCAACCCCGGUGGGAACUUUGGUCGUAGGCUGACAGGGAAAG